UACAGGGGGGUGCAAACGUUGCUCGGAAUCAUUGGGCGUAAAGCGCACGUAGGCGGUUCGUUAUGUCGGAUGUGAAAGCCCUUGGCUUAACCGAGGAAGUGCAUCCGAAACUGGCGAGCUAGAGUACUAAAGAGGAUCGCGGAAUUCCCGGUGUAGAGGUGAAAUUCGUAGAUAUCGGGAGGAACACCCGGUGGCGAAGGCGGCGAUCUGGGUAGAGUACUGACGCUGAGACGCGAAAGCGUGGGGAGCGAACAGG
rnacentral:rRNA from 1 species